ACGGGGUGCAGCAGGCGCGAAACCUCUGUAAUAGGCGAAAGCUUGACAGGGUUACUCUGAGUGAUUUCCGUUAAGGAGAUCUUUUGGCACCUCUAAAAAUGGUGCAGAAUAAGGGGUGGGCAAGUCUGGUGUCAGCCGCCGCGGUAAUACCAGCACCCCGAGUGGUCGGGACGUUUAUUGGGCCUAAAGCAUCCGUAGCCGGUUCUACAAGUCUUCCGUUAAAUCCACCUGCUUAACAGAUGGGCUGCGGAAGAUACUAUAGAGCUAGGAGGCGGGAGAGGCGAGCGGUACUCGAUGGGUAGGGGUAAAAUCCGUUGAUCCAUUGAAGACCACCAGUGGCGAAGGCGGCUUGCCAGAACGCGCUCGACGGUGAGGGAUGAAAGCUGGGGGAGCAAACCGGGUUAGAUACCCGGGUAGUCCCAGCUGUAAACGAUGCAGACUCGGUGAUGAGUUGGCUUAUUGCUAACUCAGUGCCGCAGGGAAGCCGUUAAGUUUGCCGCCUGGGGAGUACGGUCGCAAGACUGAGACUUAAAGGAAUUGGCGGGGGAGCAC
rnacentral:rRNA from 1 species